ACUUCUGUAACACGGAUUCCAGAAAAGCGAACCGCGGACUCAGCUGGGCUACUGUAACAAAAUUCCACAGACGGGGCGGCUUAAACAAUGGACUUGUUUCCAGUCCUGGAGGCCGGAGGUCUGAGACCCAGGGGCCAGCACCCGUCUCUGGAUGAAGCGGGACGUCUUCCCAGCUACCGGCUGCCGGAAACUCUUUGAACGGAAACCUCGUACCUUUUCUGAGAAGCGAAUGGCCGCAGACGCCGGAUGGACUUGGGGGAGAAUGGAGGGGUGACGUGGUCUGGGUCACAGGUGGCCGUGAUGGACAAGGCCUCCCCGUGAAGGGGGGUGUCUUGACCCAUGGCCGCGUCCGCCUGCUGCUGAGCAGGGGGGUUCCUGCUACCGACCGGGGAGGAGCGGGGGAGAAAACACGACUCUGCUCGGGGUGCGUCUCGGAUGCCAAUCUCAGUGCUCUCCACUUGGUCCUUGUGGGACAGGGGGGAGGGAUAUUGCCGGCCUCACUGACCCACGGACUCCGAACUAGCGGGAUCCGCGAGCUUUUCAGUCUCUCGAAGGAAGAGGCCUUCCGCCAGCACGUUGUGAGAACGCCCCUAAACAGAGAGGGUGAGAAACCUCGGGCCAAAGCGCCCAGGGUCUUGUUCCUCCGCGUGCCCUCCAGCAGGGACGUCGGCGCACUGCUCGGAAGGAUCAGGACGCUAAGAAGACUAAGCAGGAGCGACAGAGUACGGCCGACUUGUGGGCAGCCGCUUGAAGGGGGCCAGGGGCAGAUCUCCAAGAGACGGAGGCCGAAGAACAAGAAAUAAAUAGGAUGAUGCCUUAUCUAACCACCUUAAUUAAUUUUUUUCAUUCACAGCAAAACAGAUCAACCGGGAGACACUCGGGUGGGAGAAAAGGGAGCAUGGUCAGUCUGAUGGCUCAUAAAGUGUGCAAGAGACACCUUCCAGUUGAGAGUCCAGGCCACGCUGUGACGGUGGUAGAGACGGGCAGGGAGGGCUUCUUCCGCGGGGGGUGGGUAGCUCAGGAAAGGAUUCUGAGCAGGACGUAUCUACUGCGUUUUCUGGGAGGCAUGGAGCAGCUUGGAAAUAAAGGACUCGGACUGCUAAAAAAAAUAAUAACCCGACUCAUUUCUAUUGUUUUCUAUGUAUUUUUCUGUAUCACCUGAGACAGAGAGACUCAGAGGAGCUGGCAGAGUGGAGAAGCCGUCUGGGCAAACGCUCUCAGAGAGAAUGGUUAGGGAGACAGCGCUAAGCCGACCGCCAACCCCGGUCUGGGCCUUCUCGAAGGAGCACACACAGGUCCUGGGUUAGAGAAAGGCAUCCAUCUACGGAGAAGGCAUCGCUGUCAGGAGCCGUUACCCACCCAACACCCUCGCUUUUUAAAUAUGUAAAGCAAACUUGAUAGAAAUUCAAGGGGAAAUUGGCAAAUUCACAGUAAUAUUUGAGAUACUUCCUCAGAAAUCAAGAAAUCAAAGAGGAAGAGGAAAAUAGGGCAGAGUGUGAAUAACACAAUGAAGACC